rnacentral:lncRNA from 1 species
UCAAAGUCAAAAGUUAAAUGUAUGUACGUAAGUCGAUUGCUUCUCAUUGUCACGGUGUCAUUCAGAAAGUACAGACGUUCGAAAGUUUGGAAUUGAAAGAAAAAACCAUAGAAAAUCUCACAAUGAAUGUUAUACAACAAUUAGUAUGGACUAUCAUCUGUAUGCUUUUAAUUUCUGGUACUGUAAUGCAUAAUACGUCAAACAAUACAAAAAAUGAAACAUACAAUGAAAAUGUUCAAAAUAUAUCUACUAUUCAAAAUACUACAAGCACCGAAACUUCGAAAAAAAUUCUCAAACGUAGAAAUCGUCCUUAUAAUAUGUGGUCCACUCGUUUUAAUACCUUUAUAUGCUAUUUCUAUUUGUAUUAAAGAAUGCGAAGACCAACAGCACGAAAACCAGCAGCAAGAAAAUCAGCAGGACGAAAACCAGCAAGACGAAAACCAGCAAGACCAAAACCAGCAAGACGAAAACCAGCAGGACGAAUUCCUGCCUGACCUCUUUGCAAUGUUACCACUGGGCAAUGUUGAAAAUCAUGAUGACAACGCAGCCGUAGCUGGGUAAAUAUGUCAUCAUGGAUAAUUCUGUGACUUUCUAUUAUUGCUACUUUAGAAUAAAUAAUUUAAUUUAGUUGUGACACUCCUAAAAUUAAUGGAAAAAUAUAUUCAAUUUGACUGGAAACAUACAUCGACGGUGUAUUUAUGGUAAUAUAUUUUGCCCCAAAUUAUGUGUAAAACAAUAUAUUUCGACAAAUUUGCGUCAUGCAAUUAAGAAAAGCAGUAUGAAACUAACAUCAAUUACUAAAUGUCGUCAAUAUAACAACAAGAUACAAUUUUUAUAUCUCUGUAUUGUUAGCAUUAUUAAAUACUAGAUAUUACUUGUCCAGUGGACAAUUUAAACUGCUACUACAACUUCUAUAAAUUCUGAGAAAUAUAAUGUUAAAAUUA